GACGAACGCUGGCGGCGUGCUUAACACAUGCCAGUCGAACGGAAAGGCCCUGCUUUUGUGGGGUGCUCGAGUGGCGAACGGGUGAGUAACACGUGAGUAACCUGCCCUUGACUUUGGGAUAACUUCAGGAAACUGGGGCUAAUACCGGAUAGGAGCUCCUGCUGCAUGGUGGGGGUUGGAAAGUUUCGGCGGUUGGGGAUGGACUCGCGGCUUAUCAGCUUGUUGGUGGGGUAGUGGCUUACCAAGGCUUUGACGGGUAGCCGGCCUGAGAGGGUGACCGGCCACAUUGGGACUGAGAUACGGCCCAGACUCCUACGGGAGGCAGCAGUGGGGAAUAUAGCACAAUGGGCGGAAGCCUGAUGCAGCAACGCCGCGUGCGGGAUGACGGCCUUCGGGUUGUAAACCGCUUUCGCCUGUGACGAAGCGUGAGUGACGGUAAUGGGUAAAGAAGCACCGGCUAACUACGUG
rnacentral:rRNA from 1 species